AUCUGUUGCCAUACCACCCUAAACAUGCCCAAUCUCACCUGAUCUCGGAAGCUAAGCAGGGUCGGGCCUGGUUAGUACUUAGAUGGGAAACUGAUUGGAAAUACCGGGUGCUAUGGGCU
rnacentral:rRNA from 1 species